rnacentral:rRNA from 1 species
GCGGAGGAAAAGAAACCAACAGGGAUUGCCCCAGUAACGGCGAGUGAAGCGGCAACAGCUCAAAUUUGAAAUCUGGCUUCGGCCCGAGUUGUAAUUUGUAGAGGAUGCUUUUGGUGCGGUGCCUUCGGAGUUCCCUGGAAUGGGACGCCAGAGAGGGUGAGAGCCCCGUAUCGUUGGACGCCAAACCUCUGUAUAGCACCUUCGACGAGUCGAGUAGUUUGGGAAUGCUGCUCUAAAUGGGAGGUAAAUUUCUUCUAAAGCUAAAUACCGGCCAGAGACCGAUAGCGCACAAGUAGAGUGAUCGAAAGAUGAAAAGCACUUUGAAAAGAGGGUUAAAAAGCACGUGAAAUUGUUAAAGGGGAAGCGCUUGUGACCAGACUUGUUGCCUUGCGAAUCAUCCAGCCUUCUGGCUGGUGCACUUCGCCUGGCUCAGGCCAGCGUCGGUUCUGCGCGGGGGAUAAAAGCCUCGGGAACGUAGCUCCUCCGGGAGUGUUAUAGCCCCUGGCACAAUAUCUCGCGCGGGACCGAGGUUCGCGCUCUGCAAGGACGCUGGCGUAAUGGUUACCAGCGGCCCGUCUUGAAACACGGACCAAGGAGUCAAGCAUUAGGGCGAGUGUUUGGGUGCAAAACCCGCACGCGAAAUGAAAGUGAACGCUGGUGAGAGCUUCGGCGCAUCAUCGACCGAUCCAGAUGUAUUCGGAUGGAUUUGAGUAAGAGCCUUACCGCUUGGACCCGAAAGAUGGCGAACUAUGCUUGUAUAGGGUGAAGCCAGAGGAAACUCUGGUGGAGGCUCGCAGCGGUUCUGACGUGCAAAUCGAUCGUCAAAUAUGAGCAU